rnacentral:rRNA from 1 species
UACGGGGCUUAUGUCUUGUAAUUGGAUGAUGGGAAUUUAAACCUCUUCCAGAGUAACAAUUGGAGGGCAAGUCUGGUGCCAGCAGCCGCGGUAAUUCCAGCUCCAAUAGCGUAUAUUAAAAUUGUUGCAGUUAAAAAGCUCGUAGUUGAAUUUCUGCUGCAUUGCAUUUUCUCCUAUACGAGUUUUUGCAUUGUGGCUUAUUUCGGUUAUAAAAUUUAUUUUUAUUUCCGGAUGUUUACUUUGAGAAAAUUAGAGUGCUCAAAGCAGGCUUUUGCCUUGAAUAGUUUAGCAUGGAAUAAUAAAGUAGGACUUUGGUUCUAUUUUGUUGGUUUUAGGUACCAAAGUAAUGGUUAAUAGGAACAGUUG